rnacentral:rRNA from 1 species
UACGAAGGGGGCUAGCGUUGUUCGGAAUUACUGGGCGUAAAGCGCACGUAGGCGGAUUUGUUAGUCAGGGGUGAAAUCCCGGGGCUCAACCUCGGAACUGCCUUUGAUACUGCAAGUCUCGAGUCCGAGAGAGGUGAGUGGAAUUCCUAGUGUAGAGGUGAAAUUCGUAGAGAUUAGGAAGAACACCAGUGGCGAAGGCGGCUCACUGGCUCGGUACUGACGCUGAGGUGCGAAAGAGUGGGGAGCAAACAGG